CGAGCAGCAGGCGGACUCACAGAGAAACCCUCAGCCCUCCACGAAGACAAAUGGGGCUGAAGGUAGCAUCACAGGUGGCCUACUCACAAACCUGGCAUCCCGCGCAUCUCUUACUUCUGCUCCAUCACUGAAAGCGGGCCGACCAUCUGCUCUUCUUUGUGUGAAACCUUUUAUUUAGGGUGUUUCAGGAUGAUCUGUUAAUUUGUGCACUUUAACAGCAAGUUAUAAUACACCCGCUGAUAGUAGUUAGUGUUCUGAUUCGAUACCGACUACAUCUGUUGUGUGAUAUAGUAAAGAUAUUGCUAGUAUGACUCGACACAAACAUUACUGAGGGUUUGAAAACGCUGGAUGAUGUUCAUCAUAUUUUCUUUAAAUCAGGCAUUUAACAGAAGCAUGCCAUCCAUUUUAAUCCUGCAAGUACACACUCAUAUUUCAGGAAAAAAAUGCAAAUGUACAAAAUAACAUCAACGGUUUUUAUAUCAAGUGACUUUAAUUUCCCCCACAUAUUCGAAACACAGUAGUCGUCUACUUCAAGAAGACUAGCAGGAUGGAUCCGAGCAUUAUUUGCAUCCGUGUGUACCCUUGAGCAAGGCCCUUAAUCCUCAACUGCUCCCUGGCUUCUCGCUGCGUUUGUGAAACCUGAAACCACCUGAUAUCUUUUCCUUGAUUUGUAUGAAUGCUAAGUGUUUCUCUCUCCCUGGGUUACAUUAAAAUGUACAUCCUG